GAUGAACGCUGGCGGUAUGCUUAACACAUGCAAGUCGAACGGACUCUUCGGAGUUAGUGGCGGACGGGUGAGUAACGCGUGAGAAUCUGGCUUUGGGUUCGGGACAACCACUGGAAACGGUGGCUAAUACCGGAUGUGCCGAGAGGUAAAAGAGAAAUUGCCUGAAGAUGAGCUCGCGUCUGAUUAGCUAGUUGGUGAGGUAAAGGCUCACCAAGGCAGCGAUCAGUAGCUGGUCUGAGAGGAUGACCAGCCACACUGGGACUGAGACACGGCCCAGACUCCUACGGGAGGCAGCAGUGGGGAAUUUUCCGCGAUGGGCGAAAGCCUGACGGAGCAAUACCGCGUGAGGGAAGAAGGCUCUUGGGUUGUAAACCUCUUUUCUUAGGGAAGAACAAAAUGACGGUACCUAAGGAAUCAGCAUCGGCUAACUCCGUG
rnacentral:rRNA from 1 species